CUACUAAUAUAUAAGAGGGGAUAACCAGGCAGCUCAAGGUCAACAUUUCUGCCUGGCAUCUGAUGCUAAACUGAUCAUUCAAGGGCUUAUAUCUAUCCAUUUCAGGAUAAAAUCAGUGUAUUGAAGCUUUAAACAAUAGUUUUUAGCUGACCGUUUGUACUGGUUGUCCAACACCUGGACUAUUACUUUAAGUCACCGCCUGCGGACUGCGGGUAUCAAUUUAUACCACCUUAAGAAAAGUUUUACUGUUUCGCAACUCUUGCGCUUCCAGGCUGUACUGCCACAAUGGAAUAGAGGCUUACUAUCGACGCAAUCACGCCUCUAACUACAGAUUGGACGGGCAAAGUCCAGGUGGUGGACAAUUUCCGCCCACGAGAAAGAAAAGACCAGGCCGUUCAUUCCAAACAAUAAUUGUAAAAGAUGAAAAGGUAUGCUUACUACUAUUGUACAUCCGCGAUAACAGCGUCCAACAUCUACACAAAUGUUUGAGAUAUUUUCUUUUUUAAUCAACUGCAGGAAGAACAAGUCUGCAUAGUUCUGUACGGUGAUGACAUUGGCAAAUGUCAUAAACUGUUCGAACUUUUCGAUACAUAUCUGAUUUCAACUGCAAAGGUUAGGGAACCCUGAGCUUAAUCAAUACGGGUCAACAAGUUUGAAUGUGUUAUCGAUAGGUUCACUAUUGUCGAGCAUGUUUCAAAUAACAUGACAAAGAGGCAACAUUAACUGCUCCAGCGAGGUUGAAUACAGUUUCUUUUCUGGUGUCGAAUUUUGUAUGUUACCUCUUUAGUACAUCACGUCUUUGCUCCACCAAUUAAAAAAAGCUCAGUUAUCGAAGUAAGUGCCGAUAUUUUAAUACGUGUCCACCCUAUUCAUAACAACAUACUUGCUAGCGGUGGUGGCAAUUGCGGUGCAAUGCAGUACACCGCCAACCAAACUAAGAGACUCCAGGAGGUCAUAGUAAUGGACAACAAGUAAGUCACUUAGUUUCUAACAAAAAUUAUAGCUGACAAUCAUAUCUGUUCAGGAAGAAACCUUUCUUGUUUAUUGUGUGGGAAGAUCUUGCCGACAGUGACGGGGCUAAGUUACUAAGACAGUUGCACAAACACCCCGUUGCUCUUGCAAAGAGAACAGCUAUUACUGAGUACCACAUUGGUAUGAUCAAGCUACUUAUUUUUCCCUGCAAGUGCACCACUCUUUUCCUUUAUUUACUUUCGCCACCCAUCAAUAACUUUUCCCUUUAUUUAUCAAUAAAUUUUGCACACGCAUUUUCUCGAUUGUCAACAAGGUACAACUCAACAAUUUUAUUCGAUCCUCUGUACGUGCAGGCAACUACAUAAACAAAUUGGUGCUAAACAAUUUUUCCUCCAACGUGAUACAUCAUGUUUUACAUGUUAUUACUUAUAUGAAAAAUAUAUCCACAAUAUUUGCCGUGGCCAUUAAGGGGCAAAGGGCAACGAGAAAAUGCUAAUGACAUACACUUUGAAAGCUCAUCGGCCUCAUCUUCAUCACGGAAUCUCGCACCUAUCGAUGAUGAAAUAGUACCUAUCUCGGCCAGUGAUUCACAAUCUUCUCCGCUAAUGUUGUCACGUGUUUCUGCCGAUAUAUUGAAGUACUUGCAAUGCCCUGUCUACAAUAUGGCUUGUACAUAGCCGAGUUAGCUACCCUAAUUUCAGAUGAAUUAUUUCCAAUUUGUCCUCUUUUUUCUUAAUGGAUUUCAAAUCUAUUCUCUUUGAUUCAAUUAUAUUGCCACUUUUGUGUAAAGCUAGAUAUUGACUCAUUUGCUGUUCAAAACUUGGCAGAUCAUAUAACUGUGAUUCGUCUGAUAUUCCUUCAUAUUCUUAGUAGAAAAUGUGAGUGCAACUGACAAUUUUGAGGAUUUGAUUGCUUAAAAAGAGACAGGAAGUUCUAGGUUUCUGUUACAUUCAUUAAAAUUAAACCCAAUAUUAAGGUAUAACGAUUUAUGGUGGAAAUUGUUUCAUUAGUUGGUGAAGGAAAGACGGUAGGCAUUGUUUGUUUGAAAUAUUUGAAAUAACAUAUUCUACAAUCUGCUUAUUCUCUU